UUCAGUCUAGGUUAAUGUUUUAUGUCAAUAUCUGAGUGCAGGGGUAAAUUGUAACUCUACUAUUUCAGGACUGACCCCCAAAGCUUCAGUUACAAUUCUUCUCUGCUCCUCUCCUGCACAGAGGGAGAAUACAGAGUAAACCUCAGUUCCUGACUCAGUAACUUUCUCAUCUAAAACAAAAGACAAGAAGUAACUCAACAGUUCAGAUGAGGGGCACCACUUUGAGGAUAAAAACAUCAGAAGAGCCCAGGGCAUCCACAAAACUGUUUUGCAAAGGAAGAGGCAGAACAGAAAGCCCUGGAAGUGGAGAACAAAGGCACAGAAUUUGAUAUGAGAAGAGACAGAGAAAGAUUCACAGAGAACUUAACAUGUUUAGAAUAUGAGGAGACUAACAAACUUUUAUCAACGUUUUCUGGACAAAAAAAAAA